rnacentral:tmRNA from 1 species
GGGGCUGAUUCUGGAUUCGACAGGAUUUGCGAAGCCCUAGGAGCAUGCCGAGGGGCUGCUUGCAUCGUUAAAAGCCGCAAAAAAAUAGUUGCAAACGACGAAAACUACGCACUAGCAGCUUAAUAACCUGCUUAGAGCCCUCUCAUC